rnacentral:lncRNA from 1 species
UCUUGAGGAAAGGUCAUAAAUGGAGGACCUCUGGAUCCUGUGCCUCCUGUAGAGCCCAGACACUGCUUGUCGAACAAAGAAUGCAGAGGGCCUGGCACAUGAUGAUUACACAGUCUUUUAAAUUUAAAAAAAUGAAGAUGUUGAAUGGCACAGAUGGUAAGUGAUCUAGAAGUUCCAAGAAAGGAGUCCUGAGAAAGAAGUGAUCACUGUACAAGUGAGUGGUCUGUGAGGAAGGACAGGGACCACAGAAAAAGUGGGAUUGGUGCUAGGCUUUCAAAGGAUAUUAGUUUAGAUUGAAAGGGAAUAGGCAGGUAGAAGAAGAAGCCCAUAAAAAUUUUUGCAGGUGGCAAUGUCUAUGGCUCCCACGGAGGCAAAAAUUCAAACAAUACUGAUUCCGAAGUCAUAAGACCCAGGUUGCAUUCAUGGUACCAUCAAAUUCCAGCUUCAUCUCUGGGCCUCAGUCCCUUCACUUGGAAAUUGAGGAUAAUACUUGAUUCACAGGGUAUUGUGAGAAUAAAAUACUGGUAAUUAUGGGGAAGUGUGUUGUACAAUGGAAAGUAUUUAUACAAAUGUUAGGUAUUUUUA